UCAGCCUCUGAGCCGGCAGCCAGAUGCUCUUCUUGCUUGAUGGUCAUCAUCCCAGAGGUGGGGAGUCACUGUAGUUUCCACAGAGGACUGACUGUACCAGCUGCUUUGCAUACAUCAUCUAUGAUUCCCUCGGUAUCUCCGCAAGGUUGGUGUUAUUAUCCACAAGUUCCGGAUGGGAGGAAAGACUCAGAGAAGUCAAGGAACACCCUCUGACUCACACAGCUGCUGGCUGGUGCUGACUGACUCCAGGGGCCCCUCUGUCUCCUUGGUGGGUUUCUGAGUGAUCCCAGGAUGUGAAGUAAGAGGGGCCUGUUUCCUCCUGAGCCUCAGAUGUGCACACUGAUCUGUCCCUCAGACCACCAUGAAUUUAGGAUGAGGAGGGUGAGCAGGGAAGUUUCUUCUGAUGGAGGCACAAGGCUUUCCUCAAUCUAAGUAUAGGUAUCUGAGAUCAGUUUAAUAACAAUUAAGCCAGAAUAACAACUGAUGCUGAAGCUGAAGCUCCAAUACUUUGGCCACCUGAUGCUGACUCAUUGGAAAAGACCCUGAUUCUAGAAAAGGAGAAGAAGGCAAAAGGAGAAGGGGACGACGGAGGAUGAGAUGGUUGGACAGCAUCACCAACUCAAUGGACAUGAGUUUGUUGAGCAAACUCUGGGAGACAGUGAAGAACUCAGAAGCCUGGUACGCUUCAGCCCAUGGGGUCACAAAGAGUUGGACAUGACUCAGCGACUGAACAACAAGCCAGAAUAUGGAUAUUGAUGUAUUUCUCUCUAAUUCUGCUGUAAAUUAGUUUCAAAGCAGUUAACAGCAUUGAAUCCCAAUGCUUCAAAGUCUGAUUAGCUGCCUGCUUUUGACCGUUGGUCCUACACUUAAGAGGCCCUGAAUACAUAACCCCAAAGUAUGCCUCUUUGGUGUAUUUAUUAUUGUGAGCUGAAGACAAUUGGGAUACAGGAAGGGCUCUUUAUGCUCCCUCCCCCUUUCUUCUUAAAAAAAUUUAUUUUUAAAAUUUGUUUGGCUAUACUGCUUGGCAUGCAGGAUCUUAGUUCCCUGACCAGGGAUCAAACUCAUGCCUCCUGCAUUAACUUAACUGCUGGACAGCCAGGGAAGUCCCAACCCUCCCCCUUUCUACCUAAAAGCAGGUCUCCUAACAGUUCCCAUGAAAAAGAUAUCUCCUUAUAACAGAAGAGAACAUUCUUUUAUUUUUCUGUCUCCCAGUUUUCUUGAGAGAUAUUGACAUUAAACUUUGUAUAAGUUUACUGUGUACAAUGUGAUGACUCUGAAGAAUCUCCUUCGACUGGGAGCUGACUUAAACCAAAAUGGACCUGUAGUGAGAACCCCACUAGAGUGAGCCUGAUCUUUCACGAGUUCCUGCAGCAUAUUUCCUAGGUAUUGUCCCCCAAUUUGUACAGAUGACCACCUCCAGCUAGCUGUGCUGCAGGGCACUGUUGGGUCACCCCAAUUUGCUGCCCCUCACCAAAGCCCCUUCGCCUUGUGGCAUCACCGCAAUUCUUUGUUGUGUAAAAAGGAAUAUAAGCUUUUGACUCUAAUGACUUUCUCACGUCUUCAUUUUCUUUCUGAAGACUCCUGUGUACAUGUAAAAAUAUUAAAUUUGUAAGUUUUUCUC
ensembl:lncRNA